rnacentral:tRNA from 1 species
UCCCUGGUGGCUAAGUGGUAAAGAAUUCUGCCUGUCAGUGCAGGAGACACAGGUUUGAUGCCUGAUCUGGGGAG